AACAUCACUAUCUGUUUAGCUGAUUAUAGUUUAGUGUGUAUACUAUGAUUUUUAAAGAACUAUUUUUCCACCCAAGACUCUACCUGGCUGCCCUGCAUUACAAUGAAAAUACUGACCGACCACAGGCAACAUCUACAGGUGGAGAGCUUCUGUACAGUCAACUUCCUCAAAUCUAAGCAUGGAGAAUGAACUGCAAAGCCUAUGAAAGCAGAGCCAACAUUCCACUACAUUGAUACACUGUUGGACCUGAUCUUCGAGAAGGUUUUCCAGGACCCUGGCCCAUAUGUGAACGAGGUGCUGAAACUUACAAUCCCUGAAGACAUAUCGGCUCAGUAUGAAAGACCCAACAAGCUGGACGUUACAGCCAGUUACUUGUCAAGGUUCAACCAAGGACAGGUCUGAACCCCACAUACUGUCCUUCAGCGUCAGGGAACUCUGCAUGAAUCCUCAGCACCACGCAGGCAGGCAGCACAGCUCUCACUCUCCGCCCCAGAAAGCACCAGCACCAGCUUACAAAGCUUCUUUAGGCUACGUAUCUAUAUUGGCUGGACACAAUUCAAUAGAAAGUCAGCACUGAAUGUUCACAUCCAUGGCAACUGGCAAGUUUAACUGUUACAUUUUAAAUAUUUAUUUUGUAUGUCUACAAUUUUUUCUUGCAAUAAAACAUCUCUCCCAA